CUGGUGGCUGGUGCCUCGUGCACUCGGCAGGCCUUUAUUGAACACCAUUGGUGCCACGCUGAGGGACUGCAGCGUUUCCAAGGCGGGCAUCCAGUGAUCGCGGCUCGCAGACCCUCAGCGCAGCCGCUGCCUGCUAUUGGGAGGUUCUCAUGUCCUGCGGAAGCUGAAGCUCCUCACUGCUCUGCGCGCAGACGCCUAAUCCCCAGCCCAGGGCCGAGUGGCGGCGGCGGGCGAGGACCCAGGGAGCUCCCGGAUUGUCGGAACGCUAGGGUUGCUUCCCGUUUUGUGCCGUGCGGAGGAGGGGCCGGGGCUCUGGGCUCCCGCCACGUCCAUCCACCCUUGAAAUUACCCCUUCCAGGCGGGUCUGAAACAAGAGUCUACUCGCUGGGUCCGCCCCUGCGGCCCCCAGGAUGCUAGGACGCCCACAAAGAUAACCUUAAACUAUUCGGCUCGGCCUACAGACCUCAGCGCUAGACAUGGACGCCCUUCAAAGGAGGACAUUUCAGCGGACGGCAGAGAAUACAGAUUUAUGUCGGGGCGGUGUGGAAGGAGCCUCUGGCGGGUCAUCCCCAUUUAUGGGAGAUCGCAGAGUGGUGAGCGAAGACUUACACCAGCGGGGGCAUCCGUGCGGAACUGAAACUGUUGUGGGGGACCCCCAGUCGCCCUGGUUUCUGGGGCUGAUUCAUUAUGUCACUUAGUUUCUACUAUUCUCAUGCCACCCCGCCAUUUACUAGACAUAAAGCAUUCUUAAGGGAGCCCGGCUAGCUCAGUCGGUAGAGCAUGAGACUCUUAAUCUCAGGGUCGUGGGUUCGAGCCCCACGUUGGGCGACUUGUUUUCUUCCUUGCUACCUUGGAGUUCUGGAAACAGCCAGCGUUUAAUGAACACUGCUAGGUGCCACAUCGCGCUCUGUGAUGGUAUCUCCUCCAUCAUUGAAUUUUGGUCCCCGCGCGCUCGCAGCAGCGAGGAUUGUCUGUGAAGUGACCAAAGGCAGC